GAAAGACUAGAUUUAGUAUCUCUGAAAAGUUCAAGACUCGCGUUUCGAUUGCAAUUAAUUGGCACGAAAUGGCGGCCAGAAUGCCAAAGCCAAAUGCAGAAUUUGGCCAUGCCAGCUAACCAACGAAGCCUGGCUUGGGGACCAACUGCGCUUUAAAUUGGUUAUAUAUUUGUAUGCGAAUAUAAUUAGUUAUUAGUUUGGCUAAUUGCUUGCAGAAAUGUUAACACUUGGUUGGCUUUCGAUCCAAUUGCAACUACAUCGAACAAUAAGAAUAAAAUUUCACGCUACGUUAA